rnacentral:rRNA from 1 species
UGGGUAACACUAACUGGAGGACCGAACCCACUGUCGUUGAAAAGCCAGGGGAUGACUUGUGGAUAGGGGUGAAAGGCUAAUCAAGCCUGGUGAUAGCUGGUUCUCCCCGAAAGCUAUUUAGGUAGCGCCUCGGACGAAUACCAUAGGGGGUAGAGCACUGUUUCGGCUAGGGGGUCAUCCCGACUUACCAAACCGAUGCAAACUCCGAAUACCUAUGAGUACUAUCCGGGAGACAGACUGCGGGUGCUAACGUCCGUAGUCAAGAGGAAAACAAUCCAGACCGCCAGCUAAGGCCCCAAAAUCAUAGUUAAGUGGGAAACGAUGUGGGAAGGCAUAGACAGCUAGGAGGUUGGCUUAGAAGCAGCCACCCUUUAAAGAAAGCGUAAUAGCUCACUAGUCGAGUCGGCCUGCGCGGAAGAUGUAACGGGGCUAAAACUAUGUGCCGAAGCUGCGGAUUACUUGUAAGUGGUAGGGGAGCGUUCUGUAAGCCGAUGAAGGUGUGUUGAGAAGCAUGCUGGAGGUAUCAGAAGUGCGAAUGCUGACGUGAGUAACGACAAAACGGGUGAAAAACCCGUUCGCCGAAAGACCAAGGGUUCCAGUCCAACGUUAAUCGGGGCUGGGUGAGUCGACCCCUAAGGCGAGGCCGAAAGGCGUAGUCGAUGGGAAAAUGGUUAAUAUUCCAUUACUUCUGUGUAAUGCGAUGAGAGGACGGAGAAGGCUAAAUCAGCCUGGCGUUGGUUGUCCAGGUGAAAGGAUGUAGGCAUGUAUCUUAGGCAAAUCCGGGGUACUCUAUGCUGAGAUCUGAUAGCAAGCUGUACUUGUACAGCGAAGUGGUUGAUGCCAUGCUUCCAGGAAAAGUCUCUAAGCUUCAGUUACACAGGAAUCGUACCCGAAACCGACACAGGUGGUCAGGUCGAGUAGACCAAGGCGCUUGAGAGAACUCUGCUGAAGGAACUAGGCAAAAUGGUACCGUAACUUCGGGAGAAGGUACGCUGUUGUUGGUGAUGGAACUCGCUUCCUGAGCUGACGACAGCCGCAGAAACCAGGCCGCUGCAACUGUUUAUUAAAAACAUAGCACUCUGCAAACACGAAAGUGGACGUAUAGGGUGUGAUGCCUGCCCGGUGCUGGAAGGUUAAUUGAUGGGGUUAGCGUAAGCGAAGCUCUUGAUCGAAGCCCCAGUAAACGGCGGCCGUAACUAUAACGGUCCUAAGGUAGCGAAAUUCCUUGUCGGGUAAGUUCCGACCUGCACGAAUGGCAUAAUGAUGGCGGCGCUGUCUCCAGCAGAGGCUCAGUGAAAUCGAAAUCGCUGUGAAGAUGCAGUGUACCCGCGGCUAGACGGAAAGACCCCGUGAACCUUUACUGCAGCUUGACACUGAACUUUGACCUUACUUGUGUAGGAUAGGUGGGAGGCUUUGAAGCUGGAACGCUAGUUCCAGUGGAGCCGUCCUUGAAAUACCACCCUGGUAAUGUUGAGGUUCUAACUCUGUCCCGUGAUCCGGGACGAGGACCGUGUCUGGUGGGUAGUUUGACUGGGGCGGUCUCCUCCUAAAGAGUAACGGAGGAGUACGAAGGUGCGCUCAGCGUGGUCGGAAAUCACGCGUAGAGUAUAAAGGCAAAAGCGCGCUUAACUGCGAGACCCACAAGUCGAGCAGGUACGAAAGUAGGUCUUAGUGAUCCGGUGGUUCUGUAUGGAAGGGCCAUCGCUCAACGGAUAAAAGGUACUCUGGGGAUAACAGGCUGAUACCGCCCAAGAGUUCAUAUCGACGGCGGUGUUUGGCACCUCGAUGUCGGCUCAUCUCAUCCUGGGGCUGAAGCAGGUCCCAAGGGUAUGGCUGUUCGCCAUUUAAAGAGGUACGCGAGCUGGGUUUAGAACGUCGUGAGACAGUUCGGUCCCUAUCUACCGUGGGCGCUGGAAAUUUGAGAGGAUCUGCUCCUAGUACGAGAGGACCAGAGUGGACGAACCUCUGGUGUACCGGUUGUGACGCCAGUCGCAUCGCCGGGUAGCUAUGUUCGGAAGGGAUAACCGCUGAAAGCAUCUAAGCGGGAAGCCUACCUCAAGAUAAGAUUUCCCUAGGACUUUAUGUCCUCUAAAGAGCCGUUCGAGACUAGGACGUUGAUAGGUUGGAUGUGGAAGCAUAGUGAUAUGUGAAGCUGACCAAUACUAAUUGCUCGUGAGGCUUGACUAUACAACACCCAAGCAGUUG